UACGGAGGAUCCGAGCGUUAUCCGGAUUUAUUGGGUUUAAAGGGUGCGCAGGCGGGAGAUUAAGUCGGCGGUGAAAUUUUGCAGCUCAACUGUAAAAGUGCCUUCGAAACUGGUUUCCUUGAGUGUAGAUGAAGUAGGCGGAAUUUGUGGUGUAGCGGUGAAAGGCAUAGAUAUCACGAGGAACUCCGAUUGCGCAGGCAGCUUACUAAACUACUACUGACGCUCAGGCACGAAGGCGUGGGGAUCAAACAGGAUUAGAUACCCCUGUAGU
rnacentral:rRNA from 1 species